CAGCCGUAAACUAUGCGCGUUAGGUGUACUGGUGACCACGAGUCGCCGGGGUGCCGAAGGGAAACCGUGAAACGUGCCGCCCGGGAAGUACGGUCGCAAGGCUGAAACUUAAAGGAAUUGGCGGGGGGAGCACCACAACGGGUGGAGCCUGCGGUUUAAUUGGACUCAACGCCGGAAAUCUCACCGGAUAGGACAGACAUAUGAUAGUCGGGCUGAAGACUCUACUUGAUGAUCUGAGAGGUGGUGCAUGGCGUCAGUGACU
rnacentral:rRNA from 1 species